AUUUAGAUAGUUAAAAUAUAGCGUCACAUUGAAGCUGUGGAGUUGGUAGAGUUACCUUUAAAUG
rnacentral:tRNA from 1 species